AAAUUCUGGUUUGUUCACUUUCAUGCAAGUUAAUUGGUGAUCAUAUCCAUGUCUUCCAAACCAAAUUUUUAUGUGAAAGAUUAGGAGAAAUGAACAUGCAUUUGCACUUGUGUGAGACUUAUCUAGGAUCAACAUUACACUUUUGGGUUCUUUAUUGUGUUGAAGCUUUGAAUUUUGAUUUAGGAUAGGCAAUAUCUUAUAAAGCAAGAGUAAGCAUAUUUGUUUUCCUUUGGGAUUAUUGAAGUACAUCUUUCCUUGCAAAGUUGUAUGAGUUGUGUGUUUAUGCAUAAAAGAUGAGUGUGAUGCUUUUCUUGUGAUUAUCCCCUUUGAUCUAGUCCUAAAUAGGGUUUAAGUAAAUAGAGUGAUAAUGAUUAGACAGUCGAAUAAAUAAAUGUGUACAAAGUUCUAUCUACUCCAAUGUUUUGAGUUGCUUAGUAACUAGGGGUAUUCAUCACCAAUGUCUACUUUUACGUCAAACGGCAACAUGAAAUAUGAGUAUGCAAAAGCACUUUAAGUGUGUGACUUGUUGAGUAACCGGGUGCAUCCAUCACAAAUGCUUGUAUUCGCGUCAAAAGGCAAGUGACAACUUAAAGACAAAGAAUAAUUGGUAAAANN
rnacentral:lncRNA from 1 species